CUCCGGGCGAGGGAUUCCACCGCUCCGGGUUUUGUUCGGGCUGGGAAAAUGGGCGCUCUGCAAUCGCUGGAGCAGGUCAGGUGGUCCAGCCUGGGCCUUUGAGGUCGUUAUCUUCUUUUUCCAGGCCCGAAGACUCCUUCAUUCCCAGCCCAGGUGCUACACCUAGGAAAGUCUUUACUUCUUUUAUCACUGGACAAGUGUAUACAUAUAUUUAAGAUGAAGUAUGGCAAAAAUUCAAAGAAGGAUAAAUAUGCAAUGCAUACAAUAUAGAUAAACCUUGAAAAUAUUUCAGUGAAGACAAGAAGGCUGAUGAAAAGAAUAACAACAACAACAGCAACAAAAAAAACCAAGCAAACUAACAAACAAACAAAAAAGUAUGUUGCAUAAUUCUGUUUUAAAGGAGGCAAAGAAUUUGAAAGCACAAAGAAUCAGAAAGUAGAUUAGUAGUUACCAGGGCUCAGGGAGAAAUGAACGGAAAGUGACAGCUAAUAAAUAUGGAUUUCUUAUCA
rnacentral:lncRNA from 1 species